rnacentral:rRNA from 1 species
UGGGGAAUUUUGGACAAUGGGCGCAAGCCUGAUCCAGCCAUGCCGCGUGCAGGAUGAAGGCCCUCGGGUUGUAAACUGCUUUUGUACGGAACGAAAAGCCUCUUUCUAAUAAAGAGGGGUGAUGACGGUACCGUAAGAAUAAGCACCGGCUAACUACGUGCCAGCAGCCGCGGUAAUACGUAGGGUGCGAGCGUUAAUCGGAAUUACUGGGCGUAAAGCGUGCGCAGGCGGUCUUGCAAGACAGUGGUGAAAUCCCCGGGCUCAACCGGGGAACGGCCAUUGAGACUGCAAGGCUGGAGUACGGCAGAGGGGGAUGGAAUUCCGCGUGUAGCAGUGAAGUGCGUAGAUAUGCGGAGGAACACCGAUGGCGAAGGCGAUCCCCUGGGCCUGCACUGACGCUCAUGCACGAAAGCGUGGGGAGC